AUUUAUGUAGUUUAAAAUAAAACAUUACAUUUUCACUGUAAAGAUAUUUUAUCAAUCAUAAAUU
rnacentral:tRNA from 1 species